CCACUCUUCCCCUCUUUCUCUCAACCGCUCUUCCCUGAUCUUCCCCUCAUUCUCUUCGCCACUUGUCCCCUCUCUCUCUUAAUCGCUCUUCCCUUCUUUCUCUCAACCGCUCUCCCCCUCUUUUUCUCAGUUGCUCUUCCGCUCUCUUCCCAUCUUUCUCUCCGUUGCUCUCACCCUUUUUCUCUCUGCCGUUCUUCCACUAUUCGGGUUCUGGCAGUAGCACCGCCUCUCUCAUCAAACUUUCCAGCUACGUUACUCUCUUUCAUAGUCCAAGUACUUGCUUAUUGUGCUAUUGUUUUCUGUUGAAGGUGUUCUUAUUAUGCUAGCUGUGAUUUGGGUUUGCUGUGAAAAUAUUUUGAGUUUGCUGUGAUUAUGCUUAAUUUGUUACAUCGGUUUUCAAAUUUAGUGUUUGCUGUGAAAAUAUUUUGGGUUUGCUGUGAUUUAUGGUUGAGGUGUUCAUUCCCUUAUAAUCAAACCCAUCUCUUCCAUCUGUUCUUCAAAUCCUUUCGACAACCAAACAUAUAAAAGAAGCAGUACUCAAUUGAGAGAUUUUCAAUCAAGAAAUUGCCAGAAGAUCGGCUUACACAAAACAACCAUGGUCAAAGCCUUGAGAAACAAAACAUCACACAGCAUUUAAGUUCUCAAUUCACAAGAAAAUGCAAUCAAAAUACACAAAAAGCCUACAAAUGACCCAAACCAGGAAUCCAUCAGAAAACCUCAGGAAAACAGGACAUGUAAGAAAAGUAAACAAAACCUCUCGGACUACUAUAAUAUAUAUAAACAAAACCAAGAAGCUAGUGAUGUCUUUUUUGGUUCUUUCUUAACAUGCAAAGGGGUAAAUAAAUCUCAAAUGAAAAAUACUAUAGCAGUUAAAAAUCUGAGGCUUCAACCUGAAGAAUUCAAGAUCAAUUUUUUUAAAAUAAUGUAUGAGAUUUAUAAGAUAAGAAAUGAUCACCUUCUAUAUAUUAUGUAAAUCCAAAUCAUACAUAUCAAGAAAAUUUAUGGAAGGAUAAUAUAUGUAUGAUGGGAGAGGCAAUGAUAAAAUGCUAUGCAUGAAAAGAUUUUUUUUUCCCCCAUCUCAUAAGUAUAAGGUGGUGUUUAGUACAAAGAAACUGCUACCAAUAAAUUAACAAACCUAAAAUUAGUGGUUAGUACUUUCUUAUUUUAUUUUGGAAUUUUACUAUAAGAAACUCUUGUUAAAAUACAAAUGCUCUCCUUGAAUUUAAACUUUUUCUAUGCAAAAGCAAAUAAAUUUACAAAAUGUAAGAACUUCAUUAUGACUUGUGUGGACAAUCUCUUUGCUCACAGUCAAAUCACAUUUACAACGGCCUCUUAAGAGAAUAUAUAUAUAAUAUAUAUUGAUUUCUCAUACUUUAUGAUACUAUAUAGCACUACUACAUACUAAUACUUAUUAUGUUAGUGUCAGUUGUUCAAUUUUUAAUAAAUCUUGGAAUGAAAAACAUUUUUCUAAUUUAACAGAAAAGGAAAAAAUAAGCUUUUUUACAUUAAAUUUGAAGUAGAUUCACUUAAAAGGUCUCUAAACUUCAUAUAUUUUACUUAAAACAUUUUGGCAUUUCAAUUUGAAGGAAAGAUAAUUUUAAUUAAUUAUUUAAUUAAUUCCCUAAACCCUAAUUUAAAUGAAAUAUAAUAUUAUGCAUCAUAUUACUCAUUUAAUUAAUUUCUUAUUUACUUAAUUGUAUAAUAACACGUUCCAUUACUUAAUUAACUA
rnacentral:lncRNA from 1 species